rnacentral:rRNA from 1 species
UACGAAGGGGGCUAGCGUUGUUCGGAUUUACUGGGCGUAAAGGGCGCGUAGGCGGUAGCACAAGUCAGUUGUGAAAUCUCCGGGCUUAACUCGGAAAGGUCAACUGAUACUGUGCGACUAGAGUGCAGAAGGGGCAACUGGAAUUCUCGGUGUAGCGGUGAAAUGCGUAGAUAUCGAGAGGAACACCUGCGGCGAAGGCGGGCUGCUGGGCUGACACUGACGCUGAGGCGCGAAAGCCAGGGGAGCGAACGGG